GAACUGCUGUCCUGUAGCCUUGGCCCUUGCACGCGGCUGUCGGACGUCUGUGUGUCUCCCAGCUCUUGCUUAUUUUCACAUGCUGACCUGCCCACUUGACGCCAUCAGCAGGUUCUCUAAGAGCCUUUGAUCAGAGCAGCAAACGGGGUUUCUUUCAUCAACCCAGAGGCUCCCUGGUGCUGGGGUCCACCUCUCUGUCAAACUGGGGAUACGCAAGGUUGUGAAUGACAACUUCCUCAUUAAACAAAGGAGUCUGCCUCCCUCCAUCUCUUCUGGGACCGGAUGGACUCGUAGACCUGUGUGUCAUAGGGAGAUAUUUCAGGACAGUACUGUCUGUAUUUCGUGGGACCUGCCUACAUAGGUGAAUGACCUUUCACCUCACAGAGGGAACAAUUGCCCUCUGAACAGUAGUAGCAAGGGUCCAGAGAAUGGUUGGACUGGAGCUGCUGGGCUCAAGAGGAGAUCGUACAUGUGAGUCCAUUUCAGAGGAUUAGCAAUGCCAAGUCCAGCACUUACUGGAAGCUCUAAGUGGAAACUCAGACACACCCUCGUUGAGAAACACUGAGAUGUAUUUCUGUGGUGAUUCUGAAGCCAACCAUGCUGACAAAGAUUCACCUUGGUGACAAGCCUAAGUGUUCAUUCCCUUAGCUUCUCGCCAUCUUCAAUUCCUGAAUAUACCCAGAAGGUCAGAGAGGCCGAGGAACAUCGAAGGUACCAACACGUGUCUGUCUUUGCAUCCAGAUGUAAUUGGUGUGAAUUACAGCACCCGCUAUUAUUUUGGGAGUAGGAAAAACCGGAGACAAGAUCCCCCUCACCAUGUUCUUUUGAGGUCAAAAAGUCCUAGAAAGUACAGAGCUCCUGUCCUGAUGAGAACCAUUGCCCGUGACCAGAAGGGUCUGGGACAGUAGAGGCAAUCACGUGCACAAUGUAGAAUUACAGAAAGGAUAACACUCAGAAUAACAUAAAGGUAGCUAACCUGAGUGGUAGGCAUCAGUGACUGCCAGCAUUGUGAUAUCUGAGGCAGGAGGAUAAUAAAUUCAGACUGCCCAGGCUACAUUAUGAUUUGAACAGAAGCCUGUGAAGAAUCCACGAGACCCCAUCUCAAAAUAAACUCUGAAACCGUAAGAAGGCUGGAUACAUAACAUAGCACUCAAGUGCCUCUCUAUGAGUUCAAGGCCAGCCUGGUCUACAUAGUUGGCACAGUAUGCUUGAGGUCCCAGGUCCAAUCUCAACAUUGUGAAAAAAAGACAAAAGGGUUCAGUAUUGUUCCCUGGAGACAAAACCCACACACAGGGAGUAUUUUAUGAGAGUGCUCUAUUAAAUUUUGAAGUUUUUUUUCCCACUGUAGAAGAAAUAACAUAUAUUUUGACCUGGGAAUUGGAAAAUAUGUUCUAUUGUGACAGGUGUGUGUUAAGGCAACUGAAGCUUUCAGAAUAUGUAAGUGUUCAUUUUCCUCAGUUCUAUGAUGGUUAAAAAAAAUCAUGCAACAUUGGUGUUAUUAGGAAUAAACUUCAGAAACCACUUAAUAAAUUAUCAAUAUUAA
rnacentral:lncRNA from 1 species